rnacentral:lncRNA from 1 species
CCCUACUUCUACUCAUGCUCGUUUACCCUUAAUAAGCACACUACCUAAAUUUGUUAUGAAGCCUUCUUAUUAAACUUAUCUUUUUGAAGUGCUGAAGAUCAAACGUGGGGCUGGGUGCAUAUAGAAAGCACUGCUACAUCCUCAGUCCUACCAUCAACAUUUUUUGUUUGUUUGUUUGUUUUUGGUACCAGGGAUUUAACUGGGGUCCUUAUGCUUGCAAGGCAGGCCACCCGAACUGCUGAGUUAAAUCGCCGGCCCUUACCACCAACAUUUUUAACACUACUUCCUUCCCACUUCAUGUAUUUACAAAUAUGGAGAACAAAAGGUGACUUUAUGACAGAAAAACUUUGUCCUACUGACCACAGGGUGCCUAAUAUCAGACCAGUGGUGGCAAACCCACAGCACACGCGCUGAGGCAGGCUGUUUGUAUCAUUGAAAGCUCUAAAAGGUUCACCAUCAUUGACCUAAACAGUUGAAGCAUGUAAGUCAGCAGUCUGUAAAUAUAUGUUGAAUGAAUAAAUACAUGUAGGAGUGACUGAAUGUGAGCACAUAAUAUACUGAUUAAAUGAAUGAAAGGUUAAC